AGAGUUUGAUCAUGGCUCGGGACGAACGCUGGCGGCACGCUUAACACAUGCAAGUCGAACGAGAGAAGAGGAGCUUGCUUUUCUGAUCUAGUGGCGGACGGGUGAGUAACACGUGAGCAAUCUGCCUUUCAGAGGGGGAUACCGAUUGGAAACGAUCGUUAAUACCGCAUAACAUAAUUGAACCGCAUGAUUUGAUUAUCAAAGAUUUAUCGCUGAAAGAUGAGCUCGCGUCUGAUUAGCUAGUUGGUAAGGUAACGGCUUACCAAGGCGACGAUCAGUAGCCGGACUGAGAGGUUGAUCGGCCACAUUGGGACUGAGACACGGCCCAGACUCCUACGGGAGGCAGCAGUGGGGAAUAUUGCACAAUGGAGGAAACUCUGAUGCAGCGAUGCCGCGUGAGGGAAGAAGGUUUUAGGAUUGUAAACCUCUGUCUUCAGGGACGAAAAAAGACGGUACCUGAGGAGGAAGCUCCGGCUAACUACGUGCCAGCAGCCGCGGUAAUACGUAGGGAGCGAGCGUUGUCCGGAAUUACUGGGUGUAAAGGGAGCGUAGGCGGGAUCGCAAGUCAGAUGUGAAAACUAUGGGCUUAACCCAUAAACUGCAUUUGAAACUGUGGUUCUUGAGUGAAGUAGAGGUAAGCGGAAUUCCUAGUGUAGCGGUGAAAUGCGUAGAUAUUAGGAGGAACAUCAGUGGCGAAGGCGGCUUACUGGGCUUUAACUGACGCUGAGGCUCGAAAGCGUGGGGAGCAAACAGGAUUAGAUACCCUGGUAGUCCACGCCGUAAACGAUGAUUACUAGGUGUGGGGGGACUGACCCCUUCCGUGCCGCAGCAAACGCAAUAAGUAAUCCACCUGGGGAGUACGACCGCAAGGUUGAAACUCAAAGGAAUUGACGGGGGCCCGCACAAGCAGUGGAGUAUGUGGAUUAAUUCGAAGCAACGCGAAGAACCUUACCAGGUCUUGACAUCGUAUGCAUAGCUCAGAGAUGAGUGAAAUCUCUUCGGAGACAUAUAGACAGGUGGUGCAUGGUUGUCGUCAGCUCGUGUCGUGAGAUGUUGGGUUAGGUCCCGCAACGAGCGCAACCCUUACUGUUAGUUGCUACGCAAGAGCACUCUAGCAGGACUGCCGUUGACAAAACGGAGGAAGGUGGGGAUGACGUCAAAUCAUCAUGCCCCUUAUGACCUGGGCCUCACACGUACUACAAUGGCUGUCAACAGAGGGAAGCAAAGCCGCGAGGUGGAGCGAACCCCUAAAAGCAGUCUUAGUUCGGAUUGUAGGCUGCAACCCGCCUACAUGAAGUCGGAAUUGCUAGUAAUCGCAGAUCAGCAUGCUGCGGUGAAUACGUUCCCGGGCCUUGUACACACCGCCCGUCACGCCAUGGGAGUCGGUAACACCCGAAGCCUGUAGUCUAACCGCAAGGAGGACGCAGUCGAAGGUGGGAUUGAUGACUGGGGUGAAGUCGUAACAAGGUA
rnacentral:rRNA from 1 species